UGGAUUGCAGUUCUUUGGGCCGAGGGGAUGCACACAGACAUGCAGCACCUGAGUUCUUCAGCAGCAGCUGGCUCCUCUCUGGAAAAGCUCCCCUGACAACUGUGCAUUCUUCCCGUGAUUUUACAGCCACGGGAGGAGGAAGAAAAGCAUCUUCAGUCCGAGCAUCGUGUUGGUGGCUUGAAGACUGCCUUGGAUGACAAGGAAAGAGAAGCAAGAACAUCUUCCCAGAAACUGCAGGACCUCCCGCUGGCAUCUUCCGAGACCAAUCCGACCGUAAAACAACUGGAAGAAGAUGCACAAGACUUUGCAAGUGGAAACAGCAGAUUGGAAGCCACUGUCCAGCAGCCAAGCAACAGCGUUGAAGCCCUUCCGAGAGCCCUGCAAGCCUCUGCCUCAGGUGGUGAACUUUCCCAGCAGCUGGACAUGGAGCCUGGAACAGGCAUGCAGCCAGAGACC